UGAAACCGUUCAGGGGUAAACCUGAGAAACCCAAAAGAUCGAAUGGGGAGAUUCAUCGUCAACGGUUCUGGCUCCCGUUGGUGCGCGAUGUCCCGGGUGAGACCAUUCGGUUCCACCGCGAGGACACGCCAUCUUCGGCCUGAAUGUUCCGGUUCCGUAGUCGUGCACUUCUCCCCUAGUAGAACGUCGCGACCCGUUGUGUGUCGGUCUACGGCCCGGGCGGGUGCCUGUCGCGUCGCUUUUCGCGCACGCGGUCAGACCCUCGGUAGCCCGGCCGGCUGCACGACGGUACUCCCACGGUAUCGGGCCGCAACCAAUCCAUUUCUUUCGAGAAUGACUUUGCGUCAGGCCCUCCGCAAGCUCGGUUAGUCGUUACCCGGAGGUACGGACCUGGUGCCGUCCCCGGACCUGACCAGCUGUUCGCAGGAGGUGUCCUCGGACUGGCCAAGCUUCGAAUUACCGGUCGGCGACGCUAUUGCUUUGGGUACUCUCAGGACCCGUCUUGAAACACGGACCAAGGAGUCUAACAUGUGCGCGAGUCAUUGGGAUCGAAUAAACCUAAAGGCGCAAUGAAAGUAAAGGUCGACCUCCGCGUCGAUCGAGGGAGGAUGGGCCGCGUUGCGAUACGGCCUCGCACUCCCGGGGCGUCUCGUUCUCAUUGCGAGAAGAGGCGCACCCAGAGCGUACACGUUGGGACCCGAAAGAUGGUGAACUAUGCCUGGUCAGGACGAAGUCAGGGGAAACCCUGAUGGAGGUCCGUAGCGAUUCUGACGUGCAAAUCGAUCGUCGGAACUGGGUAUAGGGGCGAAAGACUAAUCGAACCAUCUAGUAGCUGGUUCCCUCCGAAGUUUCCCUCAGGAUAGCUGGCACUCGAUCGUUCCUUUCGAACGCGUGCGAGUCUCAUCUGGUAAAGCGAAUGAUUAGAGGCCUUGGGGCCGAAACGACCUCAACCUAUUCUCAAACUUUAAAUGGGUGAGAUCUCUGGCUUGCUUGGAUCAUGAAGCCAAGAGAUAUAUAAUUUUUUAUAUAAUACGGAUCAGAGUGCCAAGUGGGCCAAUUUUGGUAAGCAGAACUGGCGCUGUGGGAUGAACCAAACGCAGAGUUAAGGCGCCUAAGUCGACGCUUAUGGGAUACCAUGAAAGGCGUUGGUUGCUUAAGACAGCAGGACGGUGGCCAUGGAAGUCGGAAUCCGCUA
rnacentral:rRNA from 1 species